UAAGUGCUGGGACCCAUGGUCAGCUGGUCUGGUUUCUGCUACUGAUCAGCUGAUGCCAUAUUUGGUGAUGGACAUCUUGGGAGACUAUCCUGGCCUUCCUGGACUAUUUGUUGCAGCAGCAUAUAGUGGAUCUCAAAGGAGGCUGGGGUCUGAAGGUGGAAUCAAGACUUACAUUAAUGAAAGAGGACACAACUCUUUAUCACCUGAUCAGAUUUAUCAAAAACAGACUAAUGAGACAAACAGGACGACCUGACCUCAAAACGGAUUGCGUCAAAAAGAUUGGCAACACAAAUCCUGCUUUCUGUGAUGUUGAGCUGGACACGACAAAAAGCCACACUCCCUCAUGAGAUGAACAUUUUAUUCGCGAUAUUAUUCUU